rnacentral:rRNA from 1 species
UACAGGGGGGCAAGCGUUGUUCGGAAUUACUGGGCGUAAAGGUCUGUAGGUGGCCAACUAAGUCAGACGUGAAAUCCCUCAGCUUAACUGGGGAACUGCGUCUGAUACUGGAUGGCUUGAGUGUGGGAGAGGAAUGCGGAAUUCCUGGUGUAGCGGUGAAAUGCGCAGAUAUCAGGAGGAACACCGGUGGCGAAGGCGGUUAGCUGGGCAGUUGCUGACACUGAGGCGCGACAGCGUGGGGAGCAAACAGG